GCCGAAGUGGUGGAAUAGGUAGACACAAGGGACUUAAAAUCCCUUGCUCUUCGGGGCGUACGAGUUCAAGUCUCGUCUUCGGCA
rnacentral:tRNA from 1 species